AUUGAACGCUGGCGGCAGGCCUAACACAUGCAAGUCGAACGAGUGGCGGACGGGUGAGUAAUGUCUGGGAAACUGCCUUAAGGAGGGGGAUAACUACUGGAAACGGUAGCUAAUACCGCAUACCAUCAGAUGUGCCCAGAUGGGAUUAGUGAGUUGGUGGGGUAACGGCUCACCAAGGCGACGAUCCCUCGCUGGUCCGAGAGGAUGACCAGCCACACUGGAACUGAGAAACGGUCCAGACUCCUACGGGAGGCAGCAGUGGGGAAUAUUGCACAAUGGGCGCAAGCCUGAUGCAGCCAUGCCGCGUGUAUGAAGAAGGCCUUCGGGUUGUAAAGUACUUUCAGCGGGGAGGCGUUACCCGCAGAAGAAGCACCGGCUAACUCCGUGCCAGCAGCCGCGGUAAUUC
rnacentral:rRNA from 1 species